rnacentral:rRNA from 1 species
GACGAACGCUGGCGGCGUGCCUAAUACAUGCAAGUUGAGCGCUGAAGGUUGGUACUUGUACCAACUGGAUGAGCAGCGAACGGGUGAGUAACGCGUGGGGAAUCUGCCUUUGAGCGGGGGACAACAUUUGGAAACGAAUGCUAAUACCGCAUAAAAACUUUAAACACAAGUUUUAAGUUUGAAAGAUGCAAUUGCAUCACUCAAAGAUGAUCCCGCGUUGUAUUAGCUAGUUGGUGAGGUAAAGGCUCACCAAGGCGAUGAUACAUAGCCGACCUGAGAGGGUGAUCGGCCACAUUGGGACUGAGACACGGCCCAAACUCCUCCGGGGGCAGCAGUAGGGAAUCUUCGGCAAUGGACGAAAGUCUGACCGAGCAACGCCGCGUGAGUGAAGAAGGUUUUCGGAUCGUAAAACUCUGUUGGUAGAGAAGAACGUUGGUGAGAGUGGAAAGCUCAUCAAGUGACGGUAACUACCCAGAAAGGGACGGCUAACUACGUG